rnacentral:rRNA from 1 species
UACGGAGGGGGCUAGCGUUGUUCGGAAUUACUGGGCGUAAAGCGCACGUAGGCGGAUUGUUAAGUCGGGGGUGAAAUCCUGGAGCUCAACUCCAGAACUGCCUUCGAUACUGGCGAUCUCGAGUUCGGGAGAGGUGAGUGGAACUGCGAGUGUAGAGGUGAAAUUCGUAGAUAUUCGCAAGAACACCAGUGGCGAAGGCGGCUCACUGGUCCGGUACUGACGCUGAGGUGCGAAAGCGUGGGGAGCAAACAGGG